rnacentral:rRNA from 1 species
UACGGGGGGGGCAAGCGUUGUUCGGAAUUACUGGGCGUAAAGGGCUCGUAGGCGGCCAACUAAGUCCGACGUGAAAAUCCCCAGGCUUAACCUGGGAACUGCGUCGGAUACUGGAUGGCUUGAAUUCGGGAGAGGGAUGCAGAAUUCCAGGUGUAGCGGUGAAAUGCGUAGAUAUCUGGAGGAAUACCGGUGGCGAAGGCGGCAUCCUGGACCGGCAUUGACGCUGAUGAGCGAAAGCUA